AUUGAACGCUGGCGGCAUGCUUUACACAUGCAAGUCGAACGGUAACAGGCCGCAAGGUGCUGACGAGUGGCGAACGGGUGAGUAAUGCAUCGGAACGUGCCCAGUCGUGGGGGAUAACUACUCGAAAGAGUAGCUAAUACCGCAUACGAUCUAUGGAUGAAAGCGGGGGACCGUAAGGCCUCGCGCGAUUGGAGCGGCCGAUGUCAGAUUAGGUAGUUGGUGGGGUAAAGGCUCACCAAGCCAACGAUCUGUAGCUGGUCUGAGAGGAUGACCAGCCACACUGGAACUGAGACACGGCCCAGACUCCUACGGGAGGCAGCAGUGGGGAAUUUUGGACAAUGGGCGCAAGCCUGAUCCAGCAAUGCCGCGUGCAGGAAGAAGGCCUUCGGGUUGUAAACUGCUUUUGUACGGAACGAAACGGCUCUGGUUAAUACCCGGGGCUAAUGACGGUACCGUAAGAAUAAGCACCGGCUAACUACGUG
rnacentral:rRNA from 1 species